rnacentral:rRNA from 1 species
ACGCACGCUGGCGGCGUGCUUCACACAUGCAAGUCGAACGGAAAGGCCCUGCUUUUGUGGGGUGCUCGAGUGGCGAACGGGUGAGUAACACGUGAGUAACCUGCCCUUGACUUUGGGAUAACUUCAGGAAACUGGGGCUAAUACCGGAUAGGAGCUCCUGCUGCAUGGUGGGGGUUGGAAAGUUUCGGCGGUUGGGGAUGGACUCGCGGCUUAUCAGCUUGUUGGUGGGGUAGUGGCUUACCAAGGCUUUGACGGGUAGCCGGCCUGAGAGGGUGACCGGCCACAUUGGGACUGAGAUACGGCCCAGACUCCUACGGGAGGCAGCAGUGGGGAAUAUUGCACAAUGGGCGGAAGCCUGAUGCAGCAACGCCGCGUGCGGGAUGACGGCCUUCGGGUUGUAAACCGCCUUCGCCUGUGACGAAGCGUGAGUGACGGUAAUGGGUAAAGAAGCACCGGCUAACUACGUG